UACCAACCCAUCGCAACACCUACCCUCCCACCGUGACCAACUCGCAAUCAGUAAAACAAUAAAAAGGAACAGAAACCACAAGGUCAGUGGGUAUUGCCAACCCAUUGCUAUUCGUUCCCGACUACCGCCAACCCAUCGCAAUUCGUUCUCGACAACUACCAACCCAUCGCGGUUUGUUCCCGACUACCGCCAACCCAUCGCGGUUCUUGCUGUAAUGCAACUAGUCCCAUCAACGAAACAAAGGGAAAAAAAAAAAGAACGCAACCCCUCUGCAAUUCGUCCCUACCAGCAGAAAAAAAAAACGAGAGAGCACGAGAUCGAAACGAAAACUUAAAGAGAUUGGAACUCCAUGAUUUUUUCCUCUUGAUGCUUGAAUCUGGUAUGGCUUCUGAAAACCUUCAGGAUACCUUACUCGUCCACUAGGGUAGCCUAGGGGUUUAAAGAGCUUAUUGCACGUGCUUAGUGAUGAUUAUUAUCGACUAUCUAUAGGGUGGAUGCUCUAGAUGAGGCGAUUGAGGUAAAAGCUUCUAGUCUACAACUUGAUGAUUCACGACAAACUGUUCUCAUGGGAGGUGCCGAUGAAGAGUAUCGGGAAACUAAGGCGUACAAGAGGCUCUUAGAGGAAUCAUGUUCAUUACCUAGUGAUGAGCCUAUCAAGGAGGUGUUGACACACGAGGAAACUAAGGAGAGUACUAUGUCUCCUAAGGUAGAAUUAAAAACCCCCUUUUUUCAAAUAUGCAUACUUGGGUCCUAGUAAGACCUAUCCAGUUUGUCAAUGAUAUUCUUGAUGACAUGCAAAUUGAAAAUUGCUCACCAUUUUGAGAAAAUAUAAAAAUGUUAUAGGGUACAACAUUGAUGAUAUCAAGGGAUUAACCCUUCAUUUUGUAUGCAUAAGAUUAUUCUUGAGGAUGAUCAUGCUUCUUUUAUUGAACCUCAAAGACAACUUAAUCCAAAUAUGAUGGAGGUAGUUCGCAAAGAGAUUCUCAAAUUGCUUGAUGCUGGUAUAAUCUAUCCUAUAUCUGAUAGUAAGUGUGUUAGCCCAAUACAAGUUGUUCCAAAUAAAGGAGGUAUGACCGUUGUUAAGAAUGAUAAGGGAGAAGAAAGUUCCACUAGAACUGUGUCAGGGUAGCGCAUGCGUAUAGACUAUAGAAAAUUGAAUAAAGCCACUCGCAAAGAUCAAUUUCCUCUCCCUUUCAUUGAUCUGAUGUUGGACAGGUCGGCGAAGUAUUCGUUUUUCUGUUACUUGGAUGGAUAUUCAUGCUUUUUCCGAAUUCCAAUCCAUCCAAGUGAUCAACAAAAGACCACUUUCGCUUCACUACUGGAAUAAAUUAUUAUUGUUGCGGUCAUUAACUGGCCUAUUGCUGCGGUUUUGGCCACGCGACAAUUAAGGACGCAUCAAUAGGUAAUUAACCUAUUGCUGCGGUUUUUUACCGCAACAAUAGGUCAAGCUAUUGUUGUGGUUCCUGACAAAAAUUGCAGCAAUAGGUAUUUUUUCAAUAUUAAAAAAAAACAGGUUUAUUGUUGUGGUUCCUAAAACCGCAGCAAUAGACGUUGGGCUGGUAAAAAAAAAUUGAAUUUUUUUCGAGGCGUAAAUUUUUUGUAGUUAUAGUACAAUAUAAUAUGUUACAUAGCUACAAUAAUUCACUAUUACAAACCCCCAAUACAAAAGAAAAACUAAAUCUGAGAAAAAACAAACUAAAAAAUUUAAAAACUGAAAUGGAAAGACUAAGAAGCAACUUAAAACUAAAAACGCAAGAAACUAAAAAAAUUAAGAAACUGAAAUGAAAAAACUAAAAGAAACAGGAUGAAUUAAUUAUUUUAACCAAGGCAUCAAUGAGAAAAUUAAAAUGUAAAUUAAGAUCAAAUAGCACUAAUAGAUCAAAAUAAAAAUAAACAAAACAACAAACUGCAGAAAAUAAAUUAAAAAAAAAUCUGAAAAUUGGAAAAAAAAAAAA